UUGAUGAUGAUCUUUUGUACUUUAAUUUAAGUUCCAACAAAAAUACAAUUUAAAUAAAUUUAUCAGAGUUGAUCAGAGUCGUAAAUAUACACAGAAACAAAAACUGUAAUCAACUUUUUCAUAUUAUUUGUCAGGAUCUAAGCACAGGAGUACAAUAUACAAUCUUUCCACAGGGUAGGUAUCAAUUACUGCAUGCACCUUUGUGCAACAAUAUAAACUUUGAAUAAAUCAAUAAAAAAACGUAUAAUCAAACCAUGUAUCUAAUGGUGAAAAAAAAAGAGACUUUGAGAAGCCAGCUAUCUAAUGUCCUGGGCCUCUUUUGCUAGGUCCAGAAGCCAAUUUGAACAACAAGCUCCUUAUGCUGCUCUCUACGCUGCUUUCAUCACUACUUGAAUUAUUAUGAUCAGCAGAAGCUACGCCGAACUGAGUCAUUCCCAUGGAGUUCGCUCCUUCACCGGGUUGAUCACAUCCCUCUGCUAUCGUUGAUCGCAAGGCUCGACAUUCGAUAGCUCCUAGCUGCGAAAUGGCGAGCACAAUGACUAUUCCAAACACCAGCCAAAAACUCAAACUCGAACUCGAACGUCUGCUUGCCAUUAUACAAUAAUAUUCUUCUUUGUUAAAAAUCACGGAAAUACACGAAUACGAAAAUUAAAAAUUACGUAAGUACACGAAUACGAGAAUCAGAGAUCACGGAAGUGCAAGAAUACGAAAAUUUAUAUGCGGGUCUUGUAGAUGUGAGAUUGUAUGAAUUGAGGAAGCAGAUGAGGCAGAGUGGUUCUAUAUAUAGGGAGAUGCGAGGAGAGCUGUAUAAAUGUGUUGACUUGUUCCGCAAGCUAGACGAUAUUACGAUGUGAACGUAUAUCGGCCCGUGUAUUCGUGGCCAAGACCAAGGACCAGCGAGUUGGAAAGCGGGGGCAUGAGCUUUUACUUUGAAAAAU
rnacentral:lncRNA from 1 species